rnacentral:rRNA from 1 species
AUUGAACGCUGGCGGCAUGCCGUACACAUGCAAGUCGAACGGCAGCACGGGAGCAAUCCUGGUGGCGAGUGGCGAACGGGUGAGUAAUAUAUCGGAACGUGCCCAGUCGUGGGGGAUAACGUAGCGAAAGCUACGCUAAUACCGCAUACGAUCUAUGGAUGAAAGCGGGGGAUCGCAAGACCUCGCGCGAUUGGAGCGGCCGAUAUCAGAUUCGGUAGUUGGUGGGGGAAAAGUCUACCAAGCCGACGAUCUGUAGCUGGUCUGAGAGGACGACCAGCCCCACUGGGACUGAGACCCGGCCCAGACUCCUACGGGAGGCAGCAGUGGGGAAUUUUGGGCAAUGGGCGCAAGCCUGAUCCAGCAAUGCCGCGUGCAGGAUGAAGGCCUUCGGGUUGUAAACUGCUUUUGUACGGAGCGAAAAGGCUCUCUCUAAUACAGGGGGCUCAUGACGGUACCGUAAGAAUAAGCACCGGCUAACUACGUGCCAGCCGCCGCGGUAA